CUAUGUUUUGUUUCAGUGUAGAUUCAGUUUUUAACAAAUGAUCUAUUUUAUAGGGCAAAUAAUUAACAUAGAACUACAAUAAUAUAAAAAAUAAUGAAUUAUUAUUGUAAAAUAUAUAUAAUAUACAAUCAGAGCUGCGUAAAACACUUUUUAAAAGAAUUUAAUGGUCUUUUAUGUUUAGCUGUCAAAAUCGAGCAGCGAAAGCGGGGUGUCGUAGAUGCAGCCAGGAUGAUUGAACACAAUGUAGCUGGGAGCAGUAAACAAUCACAGCUGAAGGCACAACAGAAAGAAAUGUGUAGCACACACAGCACACAGGACUAACAUGUAGGGGAUAAGAGCAUGGUGUUGCCACCUAGUCAGUGAUCGAAACACUAAGUUGGCCGGAUUGGCUGCAUGGAAAUGCUUCAGCUUUCCACUCUCGAAGACCCGGGUUCGAGUCUCAGGUCCCAUCUCUUGAAAAUAUUUAUCAUGGGGUCCAGGCCCAGCCCAUCAAUCCCCAUCCUCCAC
rnacentral:lncRNA from 1 species